AGACACAUUGUUAAAGGCACUGCUGGGAUUUGAACCCAGGAUCUCCUGUUUACUAGACAGGCACUUUGACCAUCUAAGCCACAGCGCCGCUACUUGAAGCUGUUAAACCCAAAACGAGUUGAACUUCUUUUCAAAAAAGUUUUAUUCAUGAAAAUGAAGUCAAAACCCUGGGUUAAAGGCACUGCUGGGAUUUGAACCCAGGAUCUCCUGUUUUCUAGACAGGCACUUUGACCAACUAAGCCACAGCACCUCUACUUGAAGCACCUAAACAAAAAACGAAUUGAAUACCUUUUCAAAAAAUGUUUUAAUCAGAAAAAUGAAGUCAAAACACUGGGUUAAAGGCACUGCUGGGAUUUGAACCCAGGAUCUCCUGUUUACUAGACAGGCACUUUGACCAUCUAAGCCACAGCGCCUCUACUUGAAGCUGUUAAACCCAAAACGAGUUGAACUUCUUUUCAAAAAAGUUUUAAUUAUGAAAAUGAAGUGAAAACACUGGGUUAAAGGCACUGCUGGGAUUUGAACCCAGGAUCUCCUGUUUACAAGACAG
ensembl:lncRNA